rnacentral:rRNA from 1 species
GGGUUGUGAGGUUAAGCGACUAAGCGUACACGGUGGAUGCCCUGGCAGUCAGAGGCGAUGAAGGACGUGCUAAUCUGCGAUAAGCGUCGGUGAGGUGAUAUGAACCGUUAUAACCGGCGAUUUCCGAAUGGGGAAACCCAGUGUGUUUCGACACACUAUCAUUAACUGAAUCCAUAGGUUAAUGAGGCGAACCGGGGGAACUGAAACAUCUAAGUACCCCGAGGAAAAGAAAUCAACCGAGAUUCCCCCAGUAGCGGCGAGCGAACGGGGAGGAGCCCAGAGCCUGAAUCAGUGUGUGUGUUAGUGGAAGCGUCUGGAAAGGCGUGCGAUACAGGGUGACAGCCCCGUACACAAAAAUGCACAUAUUGUGAGCUCGAUGAGUAGGGCGGGACACGUGGUAUCCUGUCUGAAUAUGGGGGGACCAUCCUCCAAGGCUAAAUACUCCUGACUGACCGAUAGUGAACCAGUACCGUGAGGGAAAGGCGAAAAGAACCCCGGCGAGGGGAGUGAAAAAGAACCUGAAACCGUGUACGUACAAGCAGUGGGAGCCUCUUAAUGGGGUGACUGCGUACCUUUUGUAUAAUGGGUCAGCGACUUAUAUUCUGUAGCAAGGUUAACCGAAUAGGGGAGCCGAAGGGAAACCGAGUCUUAACUGGGCGUUAAGUUGCAGGGUAUAGACCCGAAACCCGGUGAUCUAGCCAUGGGCAGGUUGAAGGUUGGGUAACACUAACUGGAGGACCGAACCGACUAAUGUUGAAAAAUUAGCGGAUGACUUGUGGCUGGGGGUGAAAGGCCAAUCAAACCGGGAGAUAGCUGGUUCUCCCCGAAAGCUAUUUAGGUAGCGCCUCGUGAAUUCAUCUCCGGGGGUAGAGCACUGUUUCGGCAAGGGGGUCAUCCCGACUUACCAACCCGAUGCAAACUGCGAAUACCGGAGAAUGUUAUCACGGGAGACACACGGCGGGUGCUAACGUCCGUCGUGAAGAGGGAAACAACCCAGACCGCCAGCUAAGGUCCCAAAGUCAUGGUUAAGUGGGAAACGAUGUGGGAAGGCCCAGACAGCCAGGAUGUUGGCUUAGAAGCAGCCAUCAUUUAAAGAAAGCGUAAUAGCUCACUGGUCGAGUCGGCCUGCGCGGAAGAUGUAACG